UAGCCUUGACAUUGAUAGAAUACACCAGAGAUGGAGUAGUGCCUUUCGGGGAGCUCGAAAACAGGUGCUGCACGGCUGUCGUCAGCUCGUGUCGUGAGAUGUUGGGUUAAGUCCCGCAACGAGCGCAACCCUCGUCCUUAGUUGCUAGCAGUUCGGCUGAGCACUCUAAGGAGACUGCCUUCGUAAGGAGGAGGAAGGUGAGGACGACGUCAAGUCAUCAUGGCCCUUAUGGCUAGGGCUACACACGUGCUACAAUGGGGCGUACAGAGUGUUGCGAUACCGCGAGGUGGAGCUAAUCACUUAAAGCGUCUCUCAGUUCGGAUUGGAGUCUGCAACUCGACUCCAUGAAGCUGGAAUCACUAGUAAUCGUAGAUCAGCAAUGCUACGGUGAAUACGUUCCCGGGUCU
rnacentral:rRNA from 1 species